CAUCAAUUCCUUUGAGUUUCAUUCUUGCGAACCUACUCCCCAGGCGGGAUACUUAACGCGUUAGCUACAGCACUACACGGGUCGAUACGCACAACGCCUAGUAUCCAUCGUUUACGGCUAGGACUACUGGGUAUCUAAUCCCAUUUGCUCCCCUAGCUUUCGUCUUUCAGUGUCAGUGUCGGCCCAACUGAGUGCUUUCGCCGUUGGUGUUCUUUCCGAUCUCUACGCAUUUCACCGCUCCACCAGAAAUUCCCUCUGCCCCUACCGUACUCCAGCUUGGUAGUUUCCACCGCCUGUCCAGGGUUGAGCCCUGGGAUUUGACGGCGGACUUAAAAAGCCACCUACAGACGCUUUACGCCCAAUCAUUCCGGAUAACGCUUGCAUCCUCUAUAUUACCGCGUAAGGAAGCUUAAGUUGGAAAAAGUCAACAGGAUGUUCACUUAUGUUUUGAGACAUCUACUUCAUUAAGUGUCGAAAUAUAAAAGGGCUUUCUUUUAUAAAACUCAUGUUCAAAUUAAUUAGUCAUGAGGAUAACAGAAGCAUUUUCGAAGAAUAAAAAUGCAAAUUAUUCUGUAAGCCCUUAAAAAUUAAGGCAAGAAUAAAGAAAACCGAAGUUUUAAAUAAUAACACGAAGAACUUCUUAAUAUGUAAAAAUCUAAGACUAAGGACAAACUUAGUCAUAAAACUACGAGAUUGUUUAUAUAGAUUUCCCCAUAAAAGACUUGGGGACUUACAUCUUCAAAAUCAACCCUCAAAUAAAGUUAAGGGUCUGAUUAUAGUUUUCCAAAACAAAAGCAAAAUCACUUGAAUGUUCGAAACCGGUCAGUGAGAAGUUUGAGGAACCGAAGCAAGAGCAUCGACAGCAGUGGGUUCAAUUUGGGCUGCUACAUCAAUUGAUGCGGUUUCAAUUUGGCUUGUAGCAAUAGAUUCGAUUGGGCUUGAAAGAAUUGGGAUACCCAUAUCAGCUUCAACAUUCACGGGAGCUUCAGCCACGGGAGAAGGGAAGUCCUGAGUUUGUUGAGCCUUUUCAAUGGUUUCGUUGAUCUUAGUUAACUCCAACUCUAGGUUGAAGUUUUCUUGACCAGCUUCAAGUAGGGUAUCACGAUGAGAAUUCAAAAAUGCCCAACUCGUCUCGACAGCAGAUUUUUUCUUCAAGGAUCUCAUAAUCCUUUUCCCAAGCACCGAUCUCAUUCUUUAGCUCUUCAUUUUCAGCCAAGGCGAAAUUGUGUGAAGCUUGAAGAGAGGCAUGGGAGCAUUCUAAAACACGCACUUUAUCAGCAGAGAUUCUGAGGUCCUCUUGUGCUUGAGUCAUGUUUUGCACGAGCUCCCCAGCGUAAACUUCCUUUUGGUCCAAAAGAGCUUUUAACUCUCUGAUCUCUUCACUAGCUUUAGAUAGUUGCUCUGAGAAGGAGGACUCGAGACGUUUUUUGUCUUUUUUUGCUUGGUUUGAAGAAGCUUUUGUAACCGCCAAUUCUGAAGUUAAAGCCCGCACUCGCUGCUCUAAGGUACUCUUGCUUUCUUGUAGGUCUUCUAUAUCAAUCUGUGCACUCUCAAAUUGCUCCUUCCAAUUGAUUGCUUUCGCCUGAGAGUCACGUGCUAUCUUCUCCAAGGGGGCGAUUCUUUUCAUCAUUUCUGUGCUAAUAAGGUUGGCCUGAAAAGGGGAAAAGGAAGUAAGAAUCCUCAAAGAUAGUCGAAUUAUAAAGAAAAAAAGGAAGAGAAGGAAAGUACCUUCAAAGCAGCAUGUACGAUAUCAUUCAUUAAAGUCAGGGAACUAUGACUCUCCAACUUGGCUUUUUCAAUUGGGCUGAUCUCCAACCAUGCAUCUGCCUGACCUGACUUUAACAAAAGGCUGCACUCGGCAGGUACUUCAAUAGUUAUCCGCCUCAUAGUGGCAAUUCUACUUGAAGAGCCCGCUUCUGUAUGAUGAACGAUAGGAGGGGGAAUAGUCAAAUGAGGAGCCGGAAAAGAGGUGAAAGUAGUAGAAGAAGGAACGGAAAUAGCUAGGGCCGGUAAGGAAGGAACCACAAGCACGGGAGUUGGAAAAUAAGAUAAGGGUACUUCGUCUAAAAUAGGUCCUACAUCUUCACAACCAAAUCCUCUGAUGAAAAUUUGGUCAAUAGACUCACGAUAUCGUGGGGAGUGACGUCAUCGUCAGGAAUUGUUAUUGGAGUUUCAACAGGAUCGGUAAGAGAAACCGACACUUCAGCUUCAUCAUCAGAGACGAUACGUCUCCUAACUCGAGGCCUUGUCACCAGGGAGCGCUCAUCUCCCUCUUCUUCAGAGUCCUCCUCUUCUGCAGCUUUCUUUUUUGCAGAAGAACAAUCCAAAACUAUUUCCCAGACUCUUUCUAGAGAGAUACGGGUUCCUGAAGAGUACGGGUUCCCGAGGAAACACGAGAAGCUGCAACUGCUUCAGCAGUAACUCCUAGAAUAGCAAAUCCUGACGAAAAGAAGGAUAGAAAUUAGAGCAAUAAAAGAGAAUAUAGACACGAAAGGCACAAAAUAUAAAUUCUUACCAUGAGUCUUUACCUUCCAACUAAAACGGUUAGAAAGUAUUUUCCAAGACCUACCAUCCAUCGGUGCGAUCUUCAUCAAUUUAUCUACCCAACCACGGAAAUUGGGAACAUCCCCCAGAACUCCCAUGUUAGCUAAAAACAACAAAAGCAAAUUAGAGAAGUUGGCAAACUUGAAGGAAUAAGGUACGAGAAGGUUAAAAGACUUACGUGCAAAAUUCCACAUCUCAGGGAAGGGAACAUUAUCCUCACCCACUAAACCAAUAGUGGGGGCAGCAAAAAAUCAGGCAUAUCAGCCGCGGUCUUUGUCAUCUUCGGGACUCACCAAAACCCUCUUACUCCUGGCUACUAGUGUAAAAGCACCAUUGCAAAAAAGCCUAGGUGAGUAAAGAUGAAUCAAGUGGGGGAAAGUAACAGGAACUUCGGCUUUAGUGGCUAAAUUCCUUAAACAGGCAACAACCCUCUAUAUGAUAGGACCAAUUUGGCCCAAAUAGACGUUGAAGAAAUGGCAAAAUUCAAGAAUGACUGUGUCAAUCGCUGGUUUGAACCCUAAAGUAAAAGGGUAUGUGUAAAUAAAUGAAAACCCAGUUAAAUAAGAAGUUAUUCUCUGAUUCGGAUUAGGGAUAAUAAUAGGAAAUUUGUUACUCCAAUGAUAGUCCUUAUGAACCAUAGGAGUCAAAACUUCUGUAAUUUGAGUGGGGUAAGUAUCAACACGAUCUAAAGCGAAAAUCUGGUUUCUAAGAGAUUCCCUAUCGUGGUAAAAAGAUAAUUCUGUAGAGACUAUCUCUUCUACUAAAGGCUCGCGUAAUGGUUCGGAAGGUUCUUUACUCCUAGAAGAAGAUUUGUGAGAAAGGGAACCUCUGGUUCUGGAAGAAGGACCAGAACUAGAAGAAGGCAUAGACAAACCACCUCGAGUAGAUCCUAAGCUACGAAGCCUACCUGCCCUUCUAUGAUUAACAGGGGCAUUGGGGGAAAGAAUAAAAAAUGGAGACUUCUCGAGAGUGAGGGUUUGGUGAAGACAUAGUGAAGAGGAAUGAUGUAAAGAAGAAGUAAACAUAGAAUUGAGAAAUUAAGUGUUCAAUAAAACUUUAUGAGGUAAAAGACAAGGGAAGAAGUUAUAUUUAUAUUGAUAAUCGACCGCCAAAGGUAAAAGUGCAGUGAAGGAAGGAUCACAAUUAUGAUAACUGGCACUUCGUAAAUAGUGGAACCGUAAAAACCUUGAAAGAGGCUGCAAAAACUGUAGAACCAAUGAAAAAUUGAUACGUGUACGGAGUAUUAAAUGGAAGUGACAAUUGAAGCGUCAAUUUUGUCAUAGCAUUAAUGGUGAUAAAAAUUCUCGUUUUAAUGAAAUUCACUUCCCAAAUAUUCAAAUGAUGAAUAAAUGGAAAGUGGGGGGACUAUCUGUAUUGGGAAAAAAUUACAUUUAUAAAGAUGACAUGUUGAGACACGUGGACUAGUCAAAUAGUCAGAGAAUUACAAUUAGUCAAGAGGCACGAGCAGCAAUAGAAACGAGCAAGGACAAAGGAAGAGGCACGAGUGGCCAUACCUGUUUAAGUCAUUUAUAUCCAAGAAUCAUUAUGAGCAAUAGAAACGAGCAAGGACAAAGGAAUGGAUUAUGUAACGUAGCAUUCAAUAUUUUUAAUUAUUCAUAAUAGCCUCAUUAUGAUUUCGGGAAAACGCAUAUCUUCAAUAUACAUAUAAAAGGGAGGUGUCUGAUCAAUUAUAGGGACAAGAGAUAUUAUCGGAAUAUACUUUGAUUUACUUAUUUUUUCUCCCGAUUAUACUCUAAUUACCCCAAAUUACUUUCCUUUGCAUAUUCUUUUGAUUAUCAGUAACCCAUGUUCUUCUAAAUUCUAGCUUUGACUAAAAUUCUAUUUUUUGGUUAAAUAAACUCUACCUAGAAGACUGGAGAUCCCAAGAUCUAGGUUUGAGGAGAUCAAAGAAAUUCAUUAGUGACGGUUCAACAUUUUCAAAUAAAAGAUUGGUCCAUUAUCAUGAUGCAGACAAUGUUCAGUACCAAGGAUAAAGUGUUAGGACUUUUUAAUGUUUUCUAAGUUUGGUAUAUCAAAUAGUGUAUCUACGGGAUAACACAUUUAGGAAUCACCUAUAUAAGUGUGAAGUAUAAGACGCUUCAAGGAGAAUGUUGUAAGGCCAAUUCUCUACGCACUUAUGAAACCAGGCGGUGUUCAUGGCUGAAAUGAACACAACAAUGAGAACCAAAGAUGGUUAAGGGUUGAUUGUGUGACAUAUGACUGUCUAGGUAUACACCAAAGUUCGAUGGUUCAAAAAUAUCAAAUCUACCGAUUGAUCGAGUAUAUUCGACAUAUGUUCACUAUGGAAAGUUCAAAGUUAAACCUACUUAUCCAAAUGCGGUUAAUCCCUGCUUACGAAUCACACACAGUUUUUCAUGCAUAUUUGUUUCGGAUAGCUAUUCCCCAUUCAUGUGGGGGAUUGUUGGGUUUUGUUAUUAAUAACAAAAGAGGUAUAAAUGGAAAGUGGUGGGAAAAGAAAUGGAGGGAAGUGAAAUUUUGAAUUAGCUCAUUUUACUAAUGCACUUUGUCCCUCAUUGGAAGAAGGAAAGAAAAUUUUUGUGUAUAUAUAUAGAAGCUCAUCUCCUAGCUCUUAAAGAGUUAAGAAGAAGUGGUGCCUCGCGUCGUCGUCGUCACUCUCUCGGCUCGGCUUCGGCUUCGGCUUCGGAUUUGGUCAAUUGAUAUGAUUGAUUAAUAAUUUUUUGGACCAAAUUUAUUUCCUUAUUUUUUGCGUUGGAAGAUCGCGGAAUCAUUUUCGCGCAUUGGAAGAUCGCGGAAUUAUUUCGCGACCAACAACGGAAACGUUCCAUUCAAUAGCUAAAGAGACACCUUAUCAUUGAACAUACAUCUUUGCACCUGUUGGGACUCAACUUUGUUGGCUAUAAAUAAAGAGGCUUAGCCUCAUUUUCCACCACCGGAAAAAUUUGAAAUCACUCCCCUCAAACUUCUACAUUCUGCAUUGUUUUCCAAAAACCACAACGUAAGCAUUUUGUGUGAUUUGCUCUGCCAUUUGAGUUUGCCGAAAUUCUGUGAUUUGAAGUGCUGCUAUCACAGAAUAGUUAUUCCGUUCAAUCCUGGGAGGAAUUAAUCCGCAACCUUGGGCAUUGUGAGGGGAUUAAAUUCCUUAAGGAAACACAAGAAACUUGUGGGCUCGGAAUUUUUUCUGCUUUCGUUUUUUAAACUAACGUUUCUGAUUUUGUGGUUUUUGAAUACAGAGUUCUAACAAAAACUUCUAAAGGAGAAAUGAUCAAAAUAGUCCUUAAUAUAUUGGGGUUACUUUAUUUUGGUCCUUAUAAUAUAUCCCCUUUGAUAUAUGAUCCUUUCACAUGCUUGGUUUAUCUAACAGAAUUUUUGAAGUGAGAAAAGAAAUUUAAGGACAAUACUAUACGUACACCUCUUUUAUAAGAAUUGGAAAAGCUAGUAAAUUUACCCCUACGUAAAUUAGAGAAAAGGAAAACGUGUCUUUUGUCAUUGGACUAGCUGUAAAUUUCAGAAUUUAACAUCAUCCAUAUAUGUAUAUAUACGCUUCUUGAAACACCCUUUUGUUGGAAUUAACUUUGACUCAAUGUAUAUUUUCACCUUAUUUAUUAUUACUACUAAUUAGUCGUGCAUGAUAAAGUUUGGUGCAAAAAUUGGGUGCAGGUUAGCUUUUAGCGUUAGAUGUAUAUAACUUAAAUCCUUCCAUAUGUUAAUGGUAUUAUUACACUAGUAUAACUUAAAUCCUUCUAUAUAUUAAUGAUAUUAUUACAGUAGUGCUAAAUUGCUCAUGAAACAUUUAUUAUUGACUGUUUGAUGUUUUGAUUUGAAAUGAUUUUAUGUUGUUGUAUGGUUGUUUAGCGGUAAACUAAACAAUUCUUAUAAAUGCAGGUAAGUGGAAAGAAGAAGAAAAAAUAACAAAAUAAAAAUUCCGCACAAUAAAACAUAAAAGUAAAAUGGGCAAAAUACAAAAUUGGCGAAUAUAUAUAUAUACACACACAUAUGCACUCAAAAAAAAAUUGUCGGCUAUUAUUUGUAGGAAUGGCUAAAAAUAUACAUUUUCAAGUAAAAUUGUGCUAUAAAUGAUUCUAUUAACAUUAUGAGUACACUAUUUAUAUAUUCAUGAUAUCUUCAUUAUAGACUUUUUUAUUUGUUAAACCUACAAACUUAAAGACAGAAAUACUGCAUAUAUAAUAAAAUAUGAAAGUAUGACUGAGUUCUAUACUAUGUUAUAUUGUGGUCACAAAUGUUGAAUAUUUCUCUUUUGAUAAAACAUUACUACUAUACACGCAUCUUCUUUUGUGUUAUUCUUUUUUUUUUUUAAUUGAAGUCAUCACCUUCAGGCUACAGCCUUUGGUGUGGGGGUUAGGCAAGACCCCUACCAUAUCUAUAUAUAAACAAAAAGGUACAAAAUAAAGGGGGACAUGGGCCUUACUUCUAUAACUAAUUGAAAGAAAGGAAAGCCUAAAUUCUUUUGUGUUAAUCAAAUGUUUAUUACUACUAUACAAUUUUCGAAAAGUCAACUUUGGGUCCGCCCGGUCCAAACCCUGGUCCAAUUUCAUGUUGUAUCCUUUACCUUGGUGACUAAUUAAACCA
rnacentral:lncRNA from 1 species